UACGUAGGGUGCGAGCGUUAAUCGGAAUUACUGGGCGUAAAGCGUGCGCAGGCGGUGAGCUGUGUCCGAUGUGAAAGCCCCGGGCUUAACCUGGGAAUGGCAUUGGAAACUGGCUCGCUGGAGUGUGGCAGAGGGGGGGUGGAAUUCCGCGUGUAGCAGUGAAAUGCGUAGAGAUGCGGAGGAACACCGAUGGCGAAGGCAGCCCCCUGGGCUAACACUGACGCUCAGGCACGAAAGCGUGGGGGGAGCAAACAGG
rnacentral:rRNA from 1 species